rnacentral:rRNA from 1 species
CACGUAGUUAGCCGGGGCUUUCUUCUCAGGUACCGUCACUCCGGUAGCAGUUACUCUACCGGACGUUCUUCCCUGGCAACAGAGCUUUACGAUCCGAAAACCUUCAUCACUCACGCGGCAUUGCUCCGUCAGGCUUUCGCCCAUUGCGGAAGAUUCCCUACUGCUGCCUCCCGUAGGAGUCUGGGCCGUGUCUCAGUCCCAGUGUGGCCGUUCACCCUCUCAGGUCGGCUACGCAUCGUCGCCUUGGUGAGCCGUUACCCCACCAACUAGCUAAUGCGCCGCAGGCCCAUCCCCAAGUGGCAGAUUGCUCCGCCUUUCAUUCUCUCUUCAGGAGAGGAAAGAAAUUAUCCGGUAUUAGCUACCGUUUCCGGUAGUUAUCCCAGUCUUGAGGGCAGGUUGCCUACGUGUUACUCACCCGUCCGCCGCUAAAUUCAUUUGAAAGCAAGCUUUCAAAUGAACUCCGCUCGACUUGCAUGUAUUAGGCAUGCCGCCAGCGUUCGUCCUCGUAGCCGA